GACGAACGCUGGCGGCGUGCUUAACACAUGCGAGUCGAACGGAAAGGCCUGCUUUCCCUUGUGGAUUGCGGGUACUCGAGUGGCGAACGGGUGAGUAACACGUGAGUGAUCUGCCCCCAACUUGGGUAUAAGCCUGGGAAACUGGGUCUAAUUCCCGAUAGGACUGCAGGGUGGUGCCUGUGGUGGAAAACGAUUUUCUAGUGGUUGGGGAUGAGCUCGCGGCCUAUCAGCUUGUUGGUGGGGUAAUGGCCUACCAAGGCGGCGACGGGCAGCCGGCCUGAGAGGGUGGACGGCCACAUUGGGACUGAGAUACGGCCCAGACUCCUACGGGAGGCAGCAGUGGGGAAUAUUGCACAAUGGGCGGAAGCCUGAUGCAGCGACGCCGCGUGGGGGAUGUCGGCCUUCGGGUUGUAAACUCCUUUCGACCGCGAGGAAGCCACCUGGUUGGAAGGGUGGUGACGGUAGUGGUAGAAGAAGCACCGGCUAACUACGUG
rnacentral:rRNA from 1 species